CCUACGGGUGGCAGCAGUAGGGAAUAUUGCUCAAUGGGGGAAACCCUGAAGCAGCAACGCCGCGUGGAGGAUGAAGGUUUUCGGAUUGUAAACUCCUUUUGUUAGAGAAGAUAAUGACGGUAUGUAACGAUGAAGCACCGGCUAACUCCGUGACAGCAGCCGCGGUAAUACGAAGGGUGCAAGCGUUACGCGGAUUGACGGGGCGUAAAGAGCGCGUAGGCGGGAUAGCAAGUCAGAUGUGAAAUCCUAUGGCUUAACCAUAGAACUGCAUUUGAAACUGUUAUUCUUGAGUAUGGGAGAGGUAGGUGGAAGUCCUGGUGUAGGGGUAAAAUGCGUAGAGAUCAAGAGGAAUACCCAUUGCGAAGGCGACCUGCUAGAACAUAACUGACGCUGAUGCGCGAAAGCGUGGGGAGCAAACAGGAUUAGAUACCCUAGUAGUC
rnacentral:rRNA from 1 species